UACGGGGGGGGCAAGCGUUGUUCGGAAUUACUGGGCGUAAAGGGUUCGUAGGUGGCUUGCUAAGUCAGACGUGAAAUCCCCCAGCUUAACUGGGGAACUGCGUCUGAUACUGGCGAGCUUGAGUGCAGGAGAGGAACGCGGAAUUCCAGGUGUAGCGGUGAAAUGCGUAGAUAUCUGGAGGAACACCGGUGGCGAAGGCGGCGUUCUGGACUGCAACUGACACUGAUGAACGAAAGCCAGGGGAGCAAACGGG
rnacentral:rRNA from 1 species